GAGUCUCCACUUGUCGUGGCAGCCACAUUAAAGGAUUGUCUUCGGAUCAUACCUGGAACUCUUUUUACAAUGGAACUCUACGAUAGUUGGCUUGGUGUCCUUGAUGAGGAUGAAGUGGAAAUCACAGAAAUCAGAAGGCUCUUAGAACACCUGCCCGCAUGCAAUGUGGACAUCCUGAGGCAGUUAUGUCUGUGCUUGCAUGAGAUAUCCAAC